rnacentral:rRNA from 1 species
AUUGAACGCUGGCGGCAUGCUUUACACAUGCAAGUCGAACGGCAGCGCGGGCUUAGGCCUGGCGGCGAGUGGCGAACGGGUGAGUGAUACAUGGGAACGUGCCCAGUAGUUGGGGCUAGCUCGGUGACAGCCGGAUAAAUACCGCAAUACACCAGAGGGCGAAAGCGGGGGAUCUUCGGACCUUCCGCCCUUGCGGCGGCCAAUGACCGGAUGGCUGAUUAGCUAGUUGGAGGGGUAAAGGCCUACCAAGGCGACGAUCUGUAGCUGGUCUGAGAGGACGACCAGCCACACUGGAACUGAGACACGGCCCAGACUCCUACGGGAGGCAGCAGUGGGGAAUUUUGGACAAUGGGCGAAAGCCUGAUCCAGCAAUGCCGCGUGUGUGAUGAAGGCCUUCGGGUUGUAAAGCACUUUUGGCGGGAAAGAAAAGGAGUGUGCCAAUACCACGGUGUUAUGACGGUACCCGCAGAAUAAGCACCGGCUAACUUCGUG